GUGCUCAUUUUGGCAGCUCAUAUACUAAAAUUGGAAUGAAACAGAGAAGAUUAGCAUGGUCCCUGAGCAAGAGUGACAUGCAAAUUUGUGAAGUGCUCCAUAUUUUU